UUGUUCUGCAUCUACUGGUACUGUCCUGUGCUUCCCUUUUCCUCAUUUACCACCUCUAUCCUACUGCUAUAAGCACCUUUUACUGUCCCUACUAUUAAAUCUUGUCUAUAGACUACAGAGUGACAUGAUUAUCUACAUGUGCUUGGUAAUCUGUAUUGGCUGCCAUUUUGAGUUAUGUUUUGUUACCCUUUUCCCUUAGAUUCUGGUGCAGCAUAUCAAAG
rnacentral:misc_RNA from 1 species